CGAGGUAUGCGGAGGACUUACUGAGUUUUGAGUGGGCUUGAUGCUGGCAUCUCUUCGGGGGUGUAUGUGCUCAGCCCCGCUCUCAAAUCCACUCAACACCUGUGCACUUUCAAAGUUGUAGUCCUCCGUAAUGGGAGUCGCAAGUCAUUCUUGGCUUGUUGGGACUGCACUUUGCCAUUCAUCACAAACAAAUUAUAUUGUUUUGUAGAAUGUCUAGCCUCUUAGUAGGUGAAACUUAAUACAACUUUCAACAACGGAUCUCUUGGCUCUCGCAUCGAUGAAGAACGCAGCGAAAUGCGAUAAGUAAUGUGAAUUGCAGAAUUCAGUGAAUCAUCGAAUCUUUGAACGCACCUUGCGCUCCUUGGUAUUCCGAGGAGCAUGCCUGUUUGAGUGUCGUGAAAUUAUCAACUCCCAUUCUUUGUUGAUUGGUGAGCUUGGACUUGGGGAUUGCUGGCGCAAGUCUGCUUCCCUUGAAUGAAUUACCUGGAAUUUGAUUCGCAGCAUAUAUGCAGGUGUGAUAAUGUCGUCACUGUGUAGCUCGGGAUUGUCUGGCUUCUAAUCCGUCCUUCACGGUACAACUUGAUCUUUUUGACCUCAAAUCAGGGUAGGACUACCCCGCUGAACUUAAGCAUAUCAUAAAACCGGAAGGAUACUGAAAGAUAAAGAAACUACAUGGGUACGGGAUCUGGCCUUGAAUUGGAUUCUCUUACGGAGGCUCCCCCCCCUUUGCAUAAAAUCAAUGCGGCUGGCCCCGCCCUGUGGGGUGGCGGGUACGACCCGCCCCUUCCCCAUAAAAUUUCCCACCCUGGACAUGAAUGCUAGAAUUACUCCGCCCCAAUUUC
rnacentral:rRNA from 1 species